rnacentral:tRNA from 1 species
GCCCCGAUAGCUCAAUGGUAGAGCGUCUGCCUCGUAAGCAGAAGGUUGAGGGUUCGAAUCCCUCUCGGGGCU